rnacentral:rRNA from 1 species
UUCCUACGGGAGGCAGCAGUAGGGAAUCUUCCGCAAUGGACGAAAGUCUGACGGAGCAACGCCGCGUGAGUGAUGAAGGCUUUCGGGUCGUAAAACUCUGUUGUUAGGGAAGAACAAGUGCUAGUUGAAUAAGCUGGCACCUUGACGGUACCUAACCAGAAAGCCACGGCUAACUACGUGCCAGCAGCCGCGGUAAUACGUAGGUGGCAAGCGUUAUCCGGAAUUAUUGGGCGUAAAGCGCGCGCAGGUGGUUUCUUAAGUCUGAUGUGAAAGCCCACGGCUCAACCGUGGAGGGUCAUUGGAAACUGGGAGACUUGAGUGCAGAAGAGGAAAGUGGAAUUCCAUGUGUAGCGGUGAAAUGCGUAGAGAUAUGGAGGAACACCAGUGGCGAAGGCGACUUUCUGGUCUGUAACUGACACUGAGGCGCGAAAGCGUGGGGAGCAAACAGGAUUAGAUACCCUGGUAGUCCACGCCGUAAACGAUGUCUACUUGGAGGUUGUGGCCUUGAGCCGUGGCUUUCGGAGCUAACGCGUUAAGUAGACCGCCUGGGGAGUACGGUCGCAAGAUUAAAACUCAAAUGAAUUGACGGA